CAAACAUGGCGGACGGUCUGCUCAGAAUCAGCUGAAUGAAUAUAUGGAUAYAGUGUAACUCAUGAUAGCACCAUUAGAUGUUUUGGGAGGAGCCCACUGCAGCAGAACAUAAGAGGCGUUCUGCACAACCAAAGUCAGGUGUCCUCAGAGGGCCCACGAUGCUACUUCCCGGACCGUCCCCAAGACUAUUGUACGCUAGAACCUGGAAACGGUACGACGUGAAGGCAUCGAGUUGAAGCACUGCUGUCGCGCGUACAGUGGACUUAAACUUUGCCUUUCUUGGGCGGUAGUCGAAGUCAUCAGUCCAGAAGUACACCUGGUAGAACAAAACAUGAGUUACGAUAUCAAUCUAUAAUUGCGCAGUCAAGCUACGGUAGAUGUUUCCGCAAAUCACAAAAGAAAGUUCCCUUGCUCCCGGACUACACAAGAGAACAAAAACUGCUGAGAACUAAGAGAAAAAAAAGCAAAAAGCAUAGGAGAGAACCAACAUCUACCUCUACUAACAACAGACGCAGCGCAUUAACAUGGCACACCACCCCCUUUACCUGAGAGACACAAACUUGGAACACAGAUUUGGAUUUCUCGUCUUAUGAGAGAGUAUAGGAUGCAUUGCUACCUGCAACUUACCGCAUGCUUUUAAAAAGAGUACAAGGAGUAGACAGAACGAGAUCAUCUUUUACCAGAUUUAUGAUCACGACUGGAGAAAUCAUAGCAAGACAAGACGGCAUUAGAGAACAUCGAAGGAAGAUUGUAAUCUUCUUUGACACCUGUGGUACACGAUUGUAAUAAUAUGUACUCUCUGGAAAGGAUCGUCACUUAAAUUGAAGUGGAAAAAUGGAGAGCCUCACUCCUUAGAUUCUUUUCUCUCCUCUUCAUCAAUACCGUUGACUUUUGACGACUUUUUGAUUAAAAAUUUAGCUUUGACUUCGGUCCUGAUGAAUUUUGUCUUUACGUGGAUUAACACUUGUCGUGCACAAGAUAAGCCAUGGAAAGAAAAGAAGAAGUAAAAAAGAAAAUGCGAAGUAACGGUCGCACAUGGUCUAAGAUGUUAUCUAAAGUCCAAGAAUUUUGGGUAGCAGUAACUUCACAGCCUAAUCUACGGUCUGAGACAUUUGUGAGAGUUUACGCUAUAAGGCGUCGCGGCCAUGCGAUGGAAUCCACACCCUGAUCGACAACGAUUUGUAAGGUACACUGAGUUAUAAUCAUUAAUUUUGAAAUGCGCCGAUUUUUCGAUGACAGCGUAAGUUUACUAAGCAGCUUCUAGUCAAUUUUCCCAUCGUUUAUGGUGGUCAUCCAAAACCUGAUUGCUAUCAUAAUCCAUCAGGAUUAUUGAUAUAUCGCAUGAACUUUUUAAAAGGCGUAUCAAUUUUGGCAUUCAGCUGUGUAAUUAUCUCCAAACGAUAAGAAAAAUAAACUCACAACCAUUUAAGAAUGUCUAUAAGAAUGUCAAGGCUUGUUUAAAAUUGGCAAGUGAUAUGCUAAUGCACCGCUAGUUUGUAGUUGCCUAAAAAUAAUCAAGCCCAGCUACUUGACUCUCUAAAGCUGUUAGUUCAAAGAAUGAUCUACAGAUCUGGCGCUCUGAUCUUCACCUUUAUUUGCAAACACGUACCCGGAGCCAAGGGUUCUCGGUAAGAGAUUGCUUUAUUUGUUUGGACGUGGCACACRAGAUUUUGUGAUCAGGUGUGCGGCACACCUUUGAGCAGUCAGUAAUAUCCCAAAAAAAUCGUUUAUUUUAGCUGUAUGUUUGAAAUACCGUAACCUUGUGCAAAAAGGAUAUCUCUGACAGAUCUUAUAACGAUUUUAAAAUCGGUUAUUUGAUUUUGCGCAACACAAAGCCAAUCAUUGAUAACAAAGUCAUAUGUAUACUCUUUGUGGUAUUUAGUUCUCAUGCGCAAUGAUGGCAUAUAUCUUGUGGUAUUCAUGUUUAAAAAAUUUGCAAAGAAACUUCAGAAUAAACUGAUGAAUUUCAAAAGUGACACUCGUUUUAGAAAAUGGCUUACUUAUUCACAUAAUCCAAUCACAAUUUUAGAAUGUCGAUCUUUCGAAGCAGAACAUCAAUAAAAACUGACUUCGGU